rnacentral:rRNA from 1 species
GCAGUCGAGCGGCAGCGACAACAUUGAACCUUCGGGGGAUUUGUUGGGCGGCGAGCGGCGGACGGGUGAGUAAUGCCUGGGAAAUUGCCCUGAUGUGGGGGAUAACCAUUGGAAACGAUGGCUAAUACCGCAUGAUAGCUUCGGCUCAAAGAGGGGGACCUUCGGGCCUCUCGCGUCAGGAUAUGCCCAGGUGGGAUUAGCUAGUUGGUGAGGUAAGGGCUCACCAAGGCGACGAUCCCUACCUGGUCUGAAAGGAUGAUCAGCCACUCUGGAACUGACACACGGUCCACACUCCUACGG